rnacentral:rRNA from 1 species
CCUUUGCCGGCGACCGGCGCACGGGUGAGUAACACGUAUGCAACCUGCCCUCUUCAGGGGGACAACCUUCCGAAAGGGAGGCUAAUCCCGCGUAUAUCGGUUUCGGGCAUCCGAGAUCGAGGAAAGAUUCAUCGGAAGAGGAUGGGCAUGCGGCGCAUUAGCUAGACGGCGGGGUAACGGCCCACCGUGGCGACGAUGCGUAGGGGUUCUGAGAGGAAGGCCCCCCACACUGGAACUGAGACACGGUCCAGACUCCUACGGAAGGCAGCAG